AGCCUCCAAAAAAAUCUCACUCAACCCGAUCAUAGGCUUUGCUCAUAUCGAGCUUGAGUGCGAAAGGGCUGGCACCCCCAUGUCACUUGUGUUAAAACACCUCAUAAGCAAUAAGUAAAUUGUUAGUGAUGAACGACCACGAACAAACACGAUUUGAGCCUCAUCAAUAUAGACAUGCAAAGCCCUCUUAAACCUGUUCAUUAGAACUAUAGAGAUAAUCUUAUAGAGGAUUGUAUGGAGACUAAGUGGAAGUGUGACAUAUACAUCGGGUUGCGUACCUUGGGAAUAAGAACGAGAUUCAUGGCGUUGAUAUCAGAUAUAGGAAGCUCCCCCUAAAGCACUCUUGGGAAAUAAUCUAUGAUAU
rnacentral:lncRNA from 1 species